rnacentral:rRNA from 1 species
GACAUGCAGAGACUUUCCAGAGAUGGAUUGGUGCCUUCGGGAACUCUGACACAGGUGCCGCAUGGCUGUCGUCAGCUCGUGUCGCGAGAUGUUGGGUUAAGUCCCGUAACGAGCGCAACCCUUGUCCCUAGUUACCAGCACGUUAAGGUGGGCACUCUAAGGAGACUGCCGGUGACAAACCGGAGGAAGGUGGGGAUGACGUCAAGUCAUCAUGGCCCUUACGGCCUGGGCUACACACGUGCUACAAUGGUCGGUACAAAGGGUUGCCAAGCCGCGAGGUGGAGCUAAUCCCAUAAAACCGAUCGUAGUCCGGAUCGCAGUCUGCAACUCGACUGCGUGAAGUCGGAAUCGCUAGUAAUCGUGAAUCAGAAUGUCACGGUGAAUACGUUCCCGGGCCUU